GAGUUUACUCAUUGGUCAGGCUUAGGUGUCCGCGCUGGUGAGAUGGAUCUCUACCUUCUGAGGAACUUUCAUGCCAUUUAUUAGGUGUGAUUGGAAAUCAGGACUGUUACUUUGAAAAAAUUAGAGUGUUUAAAGCAGACUAUCGUCUGAAUACAUUAGCAUGGAAUAAUGAAAUAGGACGGACUGAUUCUAUUUCGUCGGUUUCUAGGAUCACCGUA
rnacentral:rRNA from 1 species